rnacentral:rRNA from 1 species
UACGUAGGGUCCGAGCGUUGUCCGGAAUUAUUGGGCGUAAAGGGCUCGUAGGCGGUUCGUCACGUCGGGAGUGAAAACUCGGAGCUUAACUCCGAGCCUGCUUCCGAUACGGGCAGACUAGAGGUAGGCAGGGGAGAGCGGAAUUCCUGGUGUAGCGGUGAAAUGCGCAGAUAUCAGGAGGAACACCGGUGGCGAAGGCGGUUCUCUGGGCAUUACCUGACGCUGAGGAGCGAAAGUGUGGGGAGCGAACAGG